rnacentral:lncRNA from 1 species
UUCAAAUACGUCAACCAGACAACACCAAAAAGCUAUUAAUUAUCACAUUUAAUCUUCUCAGUGUGACUUAACACACAUUCUCAGAUUAUCUACCUGUAUUGGACAUUGUCCUGAAUCCUGAGAAAGAAAUACCAUAAAUGUAAGAUCUCAUUGUCUACAGUGCAUAUUAUCGAAGGCAUAAAGCCUUCAAGAUAAAUAGAAAAUCUCCUUGAAUUGGCAGUGAGGAGUCUAGGCUAAAGAAACAUUCCAAAUCAGGGAAAGAAGAAAAGAUGUGCUUUGUGGAAGACAUUCGGUUAAUCAUUGAGGAAACUUUGUACGGUAUCCAGCAUACCCAGACCUUAUCCACCAGCCAACCUCAGGAGAGGUGAGGGAGAAAAGGCACUCAUCCGCAAUUUAAGCCUAAGGAUGAAGUUUAGCUGUAGAAAGACCCAAGACUGAAACGGAUGGGUCUGGACUGUUGCCUGAGUCCAGGAAUUUAGUGCCUUUGAUCACCUUUUGCAUACAGAGACCACUCAAUGAAGACCACUGGAUUUUAUAAUUAAAUGUUUUUCUCAAUAGGAACAAUUCCAAGAAAGCGUGUUGGCCUUAGGCCGAAUUUCUAGCAACAAUCAUGUCAUGAUCAAUUGGAAACGUCUGCAAAUACAUGUGUCAUGGGAAGUGAAGAGGUGUGUGCUGUUGCUAUUUUCCUAAUGAAUCUAUGUGUCCUUGUAAAACAGUUUAAGAGGGAGUAGCAUUGAGGAACCGAAAGUGGCCCGGAGAUCCAGCAAGCUUCCUCUGUGAAUGGAUUCCUCAGUCUGAAGGUUGGCGGGAUUUGGGGAGGGCUAAGGGAACUGCCAAAGAAGGUGCAAAUGUCAAAUAUGACUCCAGUUCACUGAACUGUAAUUUGGUAGAAAGUUAAGAGAAAUAGAAGUCGAUAUUACCAAGUAUGAACUUCACCUUCCUGAAAACAGUGCUGCUGUGGGUUCAGUUCAUGGGCUGGAGUAAUGAAUCAUAAUGACACCCCUUGCUGUGACCUCGGGGAAAAUAUCUGGCCUUUCUUGAGGUUUCAGCGGGUUCUCUUUUGACAGGCAUAGAGAAAACAAGAGGAGAGGGAAAUACCCUUUCAUUGUCACACUGCCAGGGAAGAAACCCACUUUAGAGGUCACAGUCGAUGACGAACACACUCAUGCAAAUGUUGUGCUGGCUUUCGCGCUCCAUUUCUUCACCGACUAUGUAGCUAAGCAAAAAAUGGAACAAGAAAUAGUGUCUUGGGAAAAAUGAAGUUGCUGGAUUUGAUGAUAGGCC